rnacentral:rRNA from 1 species
GACGAACGCUGGCGGCGUGCUUAACACAUGCAAGUCGAACGGAAAGGCCCUGCUUUUGUGGGGUGCUCGAGUGGCGAACGGGUGAGUAACACGUGAGUAACCUGCCCUUGACUUUGGGAAAACUUCAGGAAACUGGGGCUAAUACCGGAUAGGAGCUCCUGCGGCAUGUUGGGGGUUGGAAAGUUUCGGCGGUUGGGGAUGGACUCGCGGCUUAUCAGCUUGUUGGUGGGGUAGUGGCUUACCAAGGCGUUGACGCGUAGCCGGCCUGAGAGGGUGACCGGACACACUGGGACUGAGCUACGGCACAGACUCCUCCGGGAGGCAGCAGUGGGGAAUAUUACACUAUGGGCGGAAGCCUGAUGCAGCAACGCCGCGUGCGGGAUGACGGCCUUCGGGUUGUAAACCGCUUUCGCCUGUGACGAAGAGUGAGUGACGGUAAUGGGUAAAGAAGCAACGGCUAACUACGUG